CCCUUAGAUGUUCUGGGCCGCACGCGCGCUACACUGAUGCAUUCAACGAGCCUAUCCUUGACCGACAGGUCCGGGUAAUCUUUGAAUCUGCAUCGUGACGGGGAUAGAUUAUUGCAAUUAUUAAUCUUCAACGAGGAAUGCCUAGUAGGCGCAAGUCAUCAGCUUGCGUCGAUUACGUCCCUGCCCUUUGUACACACCGCCCGUCGCUCCUACCGAUUGGGUGUGCUGGUGAAAUGUUCGGAUCGGCCGUUUGUCGCGGUUUCCGCGUCAUGUGGCUGAGAAGUUCAUUAAACCCUCCCACCUAGAGGAAGGAGAGGUCGUAACA
rnacentral:rRNA from 1 species